rnacentral:rRNA from 1 species
AGUGAACGCUGGCGGUAGGCCUAACACAUGCAAGUCGAACGGCAGCACAGUAAGAGCUUGCUCUUACGGGUGGCGAGUGGCGGACGGGUGAGGAAUACAUCGGAAUCUACUUUUUCGUGGGGGAUAACGUAGGGAAACUUACGCUAAUACCGCAUACGACCUACGGGUGAAAGCAGGGGAUCUUCGGACCUUGCGCGAUUGAAUGAGCCGAUGUCGGAUUAGCUAGUUGGCGGGGUAAAGGCCCACCAAGGCGACGAUCCGUAGCUGGUCUGAGAGGAUGAUCAGCCACACUGGAACUGAGACACGGUCCAGACUCCUACGGGAGGCAGCAGUGAGGUAUAUUGGACAAUGGGCGCAAGCCUGAUCCAGCCAUACCGCGUGGGUGAAGAAGGCCUUCGGGUUGUAAAGCCCUUUUGUUGGGAAAGAAAAGCAGCAGGUUAAUACCCCGCUGUUCUGACGGUACCCAAAGAAUAAGCACCGGCUAACUUCGUG